GUUCUGGAGGGUCAGAAAAGACGGUUCUGCCCUUUGAGAUAUUUUUGUUUUUCUGUGUAUCGAUCUUAUCUUCUUCUGUCUUCUAGAGUCGUCUAAUCUAAAUUGAGAGAGUGGGUUGCUUUGUCUCUUUUCUACAGCUGUGAUCUGGAUUUCUAUAAUCAGUGGAUUGCUUCUUUUCUCUGCGGUCGUUUAAGGAGGAUUGAGAGGUCGAUUUUUUUGUUUUGAUUUGUGAAUUUGGAUUUGGUUCAUUCUUUUGUGCUUACGAUCUUCUGUGAUUUAGAUUUUGUGAUUGGUUUUUGUUGCAUCUUUUGCAUUGGUUGGGUUGUAGUUUGAAAAAGGGUGAGCGUAUUUGUCAGUUUUUGAUUAUCUGUGGAGGAAUUUUGAUUUGUGGUUUUGAAUUGAUUUGAUUCUCCAAGUCGGCACGAUUUUUUUCGGAGGGAUCUUUCAACAGGAGAAGGGAGAGACAGCGAAGUAGAGGUCGAUAGCAAGGUUUGGAUCCGGUUUGGGAGGGAUCUUUCAGCAGGAGAAGAGGAUAAUUGUGUUUGGGUAGAUGAUCUGCUAUAACUAAACCAAUUGUGCUUGGGUUUUGAAGAUAAUCGUCCUAGAUCAACCAGAACUGAGAAGGUUGUCUUCUCAGCCAAUCCAAGAGCUAUUCGCCUCUUC